AUUGAACGCUGGCGGCAUGCUUUACACAUGCAAGUCGAACGGUAACAGGCCGCAAGGUGCUGACGAGUGGCGAACGGGUGAGUAAUGCAUCGGAACGUGCCCAGUCGUGGGGGAUAACUACUCGAAAGAGUAGCUAAUACCGCAUACGAUCUAUGGAUGAAAGCGGGGGACCGCAAGGCCUCGCGCGAUUGGAGCGGCCGAUGUCAGAUUAGGUAGUUGGUGGGGUAAAGGCUCACCAAGCCAACGAUCUGUAGCUGGUCUGAGAGGACGACCAGCCACACUGGGACUGAGACACGGCCCAGACUCCUACGGGAGGCAGCAGUGGGGAAUUUUGGACAAUGGGCGCAAGCCUGAUCCAGCAAUGCCGCGUGCAGGAAGAAGGCCUUCGGGUUGUAAACUGCUUUUGUACGGAACGAAACGGCUCUGGUUAAUACCCGGGGCUAAUGACGGUACCGUAAGAAUAAGCACCGGCUAACUACGUG
rnacentral:rRNA from 1 species